UACAGAGGAUGCAAGCGUUAUCCGGAAUGAUUGGGCGUAAAGCGUCUGUAGGUGGCUUUUAAGUCCGCCGUCAAAUCCCAGGGCUCAACUCUGGACAGGCGGUGGAAACUACCAAGCUGGAGUAACGGUAGGGGCAGAGGGAAUUUCCGGUGGAGCGGUGGAAAUGCGUAGAGAUCGGAAAGAACACCAACGGCGAAAGCACUCUGCUGGGCCGACACUGACACUGAGAGACGAAAGCGUAGGGGAGCGAAUGGG
rnacentral:rRNA from 1 species